rnacentral:rRNA from 1 species
UUGACCUCGAAUCGGUUCAGACAAACUCGCUAAAUUGAAGCAUAUCAAUAAGCGGAGGA